rnacentral:rRNA from 1 species
UACGUAGGGUGCGAGCGUUGUCCGGAAUUAUUGGGCGUAAAGGGCUCGUAGGCGGUUUGUCGCGUCGGGAGUGAAAACCUUGGGCUUAACUCAGGGCUUGCUUUCGAUACGGGCAGACUAGAGGUAUGCAGGGGAGAACGGAAUUCCUGGUGUAGCGGUGAAAUGCGCAGAUAUCAGGAGGAACACCAGUGGCGAAGGCGGCGAUCUGGGAACAUACUGACGCUGAGGUGCGAAAGCGUGGGGAGCAAACAGG